rnacentral:rRNA from 3 species
ACCUGGUUGAUCCUGCCAGUAU